rnacentral:lncRNA from 1 species
AGAUGUUCGAUCUUAGGAGCAAGUAAGGUUACAUGACCCUCUCUUCCCAUUCAAUGAGGUGCUCUUCAUGACAUGUAGGGGUGCCACUGUGAGGUCCCAUGAAGAAGAAAGAAAAAAGAAAAAACUUACAUUCUUGCAAAAUUCUAGAUCUCGAAACUCUAGGUGUUGUUGUAUGUGAUACAUGUUGUGAAGAAACUAGUUA